GUUAUGCUAUUUAUUUCAGGAUAGGCUAUGGGAAGCUGUUGACGAAGACUGGCUUCAAUGUCUUAGUAACUAACCUGUUGAAAAUCUUCUUCUUAUUCCUUCUGGAGUUGUCCAAGAUCAUUGGCCUGCUUCGCUUAAGGAGUUCGUUCUUACUUUGAAAUCUCUUGUUUAUCCUCGAGAACAAGCUGACUUGAAAAAGGUAUUUCCCAACUUCAAUACAGCAGCACUGAAUAGUGUUCUUGCUCAAGGGAUGAAUUUAAAGAAGAAACAUGAGGUGGAAGUUCUAUCUGCUAUUGUUAGCUCUGUUGCAAGUGCUGUGAGAGCUAAUGCAGUAAUAGAUGUUGGUGCCGGUCAGG